GGAGAGUUACUCAAGAGGCUGAAGAGGACAGGUUGCUACCUUGUUAGGUCGUUUAGGCGACGCAUGGGUUCGAAUCCCAUACUCUCCU
rnacentral:tRNA from 1 species